CCACUUCCGGACCCGGGAGAUACCAUGCUCACGAAGGUGGCUUCCCAGGGCGAGGCUUAUCUGUUGCACUCCAGAUGUGCAGACCCUGCAGUUGCCCCACGUGUGGGAAACCCGACUGCACGAUUGAUCAUUUGUGGCAGUGGGGCCUGCAUUUGUGUUCUCCCCAG